UAUAAACAGACGGACAACGGUUAGACGUUCAAACGUAGAUAAGGAAAAGCGCUAAGUAGACGUUGUGCUCUGUGCAGGCGUGUAGCAAAAAAAUGGCAGAUAAAUGCGGCCGUGUCGACAAACCCGUUGAAUUGGAUGACCAGAUUAAAGAAAAAGUAGUCGCAGAAGAAAAAGCCGCAGAUAUCGAUAGCUCAAAAGUAAAUUCUUUCAGUCAGACUAAUUAUGUCGUAGUCCCGGACAAUUGUCUACCUGGACAACAACGAGGCGAAGAUGGAAUUUGCCGGGAUGUGUUUUAAACAACAGAUGAUUUCUUAAUAUUCUUUCGAGUUUUAAAUUUUCGGAUUAAUAAAUUAUAAAUAUUUUUAGAAAUAAAUAUGUACAUGUAUUAUUUAUUCUAUUGUGUUUUUGGACGCUGUUAUAAAAACUGAUUAUGAUUUAUUUAAAUCUAAUUAAAUUAAGAUAUCAUUCAA